rnacentral:rRNA from 1 species
AUGGCUGAUGGCGGCGGCGAGUAUAGCAAUCUCAACGACACCAUCCCUCCCCACACAAGAACUGCGACGGCGGAUGGCGGCGUGGAAGACGUCGUGGAGGGGAGUCAUCCGCCGUUCAAAAUCCGCAAGCUGGGCGCUCCGGCGGGUACGAGUUCAAUUGUCGCUGAGGAUCAGAGCGAGGCCAUGGCUGCCAGGGACGUCAAGAUCGGCGAGCGGAUGGAUUCCGAUGGGGCCAUUGAGUCGAUGGCUGCCAGAGGCGGGCAUGUGGAUACAGAGAUGACCCAAUUCAAGUAUGGCGAGGUUGCGGAUGAGGAGCUUCACAAGGACAAGAUGAACCCAGAGGAGGGGGAGGGGGAGGUCGAGAUGGACCCAGGCAAAUCAAGCUCCAUCAUCUCCGAGCAGGAGAUCAAGGAGCUCUGUACGCAGAUGGAGGAGAUGAUCGCUUUUCUGAAUUACAGGAUCAUACCAUCAGCCCCACUUAUCUGCAGCAGCAGCAGCAGCAGCAAUGAGACGCCGAAAGAUGAAGAAGACAAGGCGCCGCAGUCCUCGGGGAUCGACGGCAUCUUACAGCGGCUAGCUGAUAUGCGGCGCGACAUGUCCAAACUCAAGUCGGAACUGGCCCCUUUCUGGCACGAAUACCCAUAUGAGAAGAAGUCGGAGCUGACUCCAGAGGAGGAGAGGGAGAAGAGGAUCAAGUCCUGGCAGGAGUAUCAGAAGCUGGACAACAAGGAGAAGGCCGGCAAGGAGAUGGAGCUCGACGUGGACGACUUCGAGGGCUACUGUCAAGGCAUGACAUCCUUAGUUGAACACUUCAGAUUCACGACCCUAGUGAGCCCCAUGCACUUUACACACUACACGCCCAGACAGAUCCCACUCGAUCUUACUUCCAACAAAAUCACCUUACAGAUCUUCUCCUUCAAAAUUGCCAACGUCGAUUUGGACCUGCAAUGGCCACUCCUGGAAUGGCCACUCAAAGUGUACGGCCUCGUCGCCGCACGAGACAGUGUGGAUCGCAGACGCAAUUUUCUCUUCUUACGGGAAAGGGACAAUUUCCAAGAGAUCACCCAAGAAAAACCCUUCUUGUGCUUGACUGGCCCAUCUCGUGCAAUUUUGGCUGAGGACCAUGUUAGCCUUGAAGUCCAACUAAAACUUAAGGGCCCCUCGGAGUCUGAGGACACAGUGUUGAUCACUAAGAGAUGCCAGCACCGUCACUAUCAUGCCGAUGAUGAUUUAUAUAUUCUUACCUUGGAGAACCGUCUUUGCACAACAGAGUUAAGCCUGCAGCAACUAUACCGUGAAUCAGUCCAAGCAACUUUCUUGCGCGUCGGUGGCUUUGUUAAAGGCAGUACAACCCCUUUCAUUCAUGGAGGCCGAGUUGCUUGCUCCUCACCACAUCAUGGAGGUCAAGGCACUGCCCCGCCCACCCAAGUUGUGUUGCUUGAUUCUCGUUAUUGUAAUGGUGGCAAGAUGCCAAUAGGCGAAGAAGAUGGUUACCUUGAUCUGUCAAGGCAUGUUGUUUCUGUUGAAUUACGAACAGUGGGUGACGAUCCUGAAGAAUUGGAAGAAACCUUGAAUGUUUUCAUAGAAGCCUACUCGGACUCUCCUCCUAAAGUUUCUGCGAAAGCUGAUUUCUUGGUCAAGCCUCAGUAUUGCGGCAUAAGUGAACAUGAAUGUGUCCUUCACGGCUCUACGGUGAAGAUUACCAUUGCUUGGUCACCUAUUCUUCAAACCAACAAGGUUAUUCUGUGA